CCCUGCACUGCCUUUCCCCAGGACCCUGCCAUGAGGAAAAGUCGGGCUCCCCUGCAAGUGGACAGAAAAAAACCUCUUGAAUUCACACAGAAGAGAAAGAUUGUGAUGUGAGAAGUGCUUCCAUCGGUGAACGUCUCCAUCCCCGCCAUGCGAGCAGCCUGUCUGGACAAGAGAGGGAUGGAGAGCAAAAUGAUGGGGGAGAGGAGGAUACGGGGGAGGCAGAGCGGUUUCCAUGGCGACCCGGUGGCUGUGGUGCUGCUGCUGCUGAGGAGAAAGAAGCGCGUGCGUGAGAGAGGGCGAGGAAGCGGGGAGCGAGGCGAGGCGAGACGGUCGUCUGAAAGUGCAGGCAGGGGGGGUCACGCCCCCUAUCAGAGGUAAAUGAGCAAUCAGCAGCAUUUCGGAGGCGUAAUUACACACAAACAAACAAACAAACGUCACGCUGUGACUGCUGUUUUGCCACUUUAAUUUUACGGCAGCAGGUUUGUUUUGCGGCUGAGAGACGUUUAAAACGCCGGGCGUGACCCUAGAGCUGAGAGGCCCUGCAUAAUAAUCCGAUUAAAACGCGCAUAAAAGAAACAGCAAAGUUCCCGCAGUUAAACAUCAGAUUGAAUCAACGCUGAAGAAGAUUCCACUCCAACUUCUGUAACUUCUUGACGCGUGCGGUUCUGACAUGAUGCCGCUGAGCUGAUUUUCACCAGGAGCUCUGCUGUUUUG